AGAGUUUGAUCCUGGCUCAGAACGAACGCUGGCGGCAGGCUUAACACAUGCAAGUCGAGCGCCCCGCAAGGGGAGCGGCAGACGGGUGAGUAACGCGUGGGAACAUACCCUCCGGUUCGGAAUAGCUCAGGGAAACUUGGAUUAAUACCGGAUACGGCCUAGCGGCGAAAGAUUCAUCGCCGGAGGAUUGGCCCGCGUUCGAUUAGCUAGUUGGUGAGGUAACGGCUCACCAAGGCGACGAUCGAUAGCUGGUCUGAGAGGAUGAUCAGCCACAUUGGGACUGAGACACGGCCCAAACUCCUACGGGAGGCAGCAGUGGGGAAUAUUGGACAAUGGGCGCAAGCCUGAUCCAGCCAUGCCGCGUGAGUGAUGACGGCCUUAGGGUUGUAAAGCUCUUUCGCUAGGGACGAUAAUGACGGUACCUAGACAAGAAGCCCCGGCUAACUUCGUGCCAGCAGCCGCGGUAAUACGAAGGGGGCUAACGUUGUUCGGAAUUACUGGGCGUAAAGCGCGUGUAGGCGGGCUUUUAAGUCAGGGGUGAAAUGCCAAGGCUCAACCUUGGAACUGCCUUUGAUACUGGAAGUCUUGAGUCCGGGAGAGGUGAGUGGAACUGCGAGUGUAGAGGUGAAAUUCGUAGAUAUUCGCAAGAACACCAGUGGCGAAGGCGGCUCACUGGCCCGGAACUGACGCUGAGACGCGAAAGCGUGGGGAGCAAACAGGAUUAGAUACCCUGGUAGUCCACGCUGUAAACGAUGGAUGCUAGCCGUUGGGGAGCUUGCUCUUCAGUGGCGCAGCUAACGCUUUAAGCAUCCCGCCUGGGGAGUACGGUCGCAAGAUUAAAACUUAAAGGAAUGACGG
rnacentral:rRNA from 2 species